rnacentral:lncRNA from 1 species
GCGAGGCAUGGACGGGAGCUGAUCUUCUACCAUGAUCUGAAGUUCAGGACAAGCUUUUAUAGCUAAUCGUCUGAGAGAAGUAAGGUUUUGCAUCCCCGGCAAUGAUGUCAACUGUUGGCACCCCUCAAUAUGCAGAUUUUGAAGCUUGGAUGGCAGUCCUUCCUCUGAUAAGAGCUGGAGUAGAGGACAAUCUUUUAUGGUUAAUUCUCUAAGAGAAGUAAGGUUUUGCAUCCCCGGCAAUGAUGUCAACUGUUGGCACCCCUCAAUAUGCAGAUUUUGAAGCUUGGAUGGCAGUCCUUCCUCUGAUAAGAGCUGGAGUAGAGGACAAUCUUUUAUGGUCAGUUCC